GGGGAACCAGGACUUUUACUUUGAAAAAAUUAGAGUGCUCCAGGCAGGCCUAUGCUCGAAUACAUUAGCAUGGAAUAAUAGAAUAGGACGUGUGGUUCUAUUUUGUUGGUUUCUAGGACCGCCGUAAUGAUUAAUAGGGACAGUCGGGGGCAUCAGUAUUCAAUUGUCAGAGGUGAAAUUCUUGGAUCUAUUGAAGACUAACUACUGCGAAAGCAUUUGCCAAGGAUGUUUUCAUUGAUAAGGAACGAAAGUUAGGGGAUCGAAGACGGUCAGAUACCGUCGUAGUCUUAACUAUAAACUAUGCCGACUAGGGAUCGGACGAUGUUAUCUUUUGACGCGUUCGGCACCUUUCGAGAAAUCAAAGUGCUUGGGCUCCAGGGGGAGUAUGGUCGCAAGGCUGAAACUUAAAGAAAUUGACGGAAGGGCACCACCAGGGGUGGAACCUGCGGCUUAAUUUGACUCAACACGGGGAAACUCACCAGGUCCAGACACAGUGAGGAUUGACAGAUUGAGAGCUCUUUCUUGAUUCUGUGGGUGGUGGUGCAUGGCCGUUCUUAGUUGGUGGAGUGAUUUGUCUGCUUAAUUGCGAUAACGAACGAGACCU
rnacentral:rRNA from 1 species